GAACCGACUAAUGUUGAAAAAUUAGCGGAUGACUUGUGGCUGGGGGUGAAAGGCCAAUCAAACCGGGAGAUAGCUGGUUCUCCCCGAAAGCUAUUUAGGUAGCGCCUCGUGAAUUCAUCUCCGGGGGUAGAGCACUGUUUCGGCAAGGGGGUCAUCCCGACUUACCAACCCGAUGCAAACUGCGAAUACCGGAGAAUGUUAUCACGGGAGACACACGGCGGGUGCUAACGUCCGUCGUGAAGAGGGAAACAACCCAGACCGCCAGCUAAGGUCCCAAAGUCAUGGUUAAGUGGGAAACGAUGUGGGAAGGCCCAGACAGCCAGGAUGUUGGCUUAGAAGCAGCCAUCAUUUAAAGAAAGCGUAAUAGCUCACUGGUCGAGUCGGCCUGCGCGGAAGAUGUAACGGGGCUAAACCAUGCACCGAAGCUGCGGCAGCGACGCUUAUGCGUUGUUGGGUAGGGGAGCGUUCUGUAAGCCUGUGAAGGUGUGCUGUGAGGCAUGCUGGAGGUAUCAGAAGUGCGAAUGCUGACAUAAGUAACGAUAAAGCGGGUGAAAAGCCCGCUCGCCGGAAGACCAAGGGUUCCUGUCCAACGUUAAUCGGGGCAGGGUGAGUCGACCCCUAAGGCGAGGCCGAAAGGCGUAGUCGAUGGGAAACAGGUUAAUAUUCCUGUACUUGGUGUUACUGCGAAGGGGGGACGGAGAAGGCUAUGUUGGCCGGGCGACGGUUGUCCCGGUUUAAGCGUGUAGGCUGGUUUUCCAGGCAAAUCCGGAAAAUCAAGGCUGAGGCGUGAUGACGAGGCACUACGGUGCUGAAGCAACAAAUGCCCUGCUUCCAGGAAAAGCCUCUAAGCAUCAGGUAACAUCAAAUCGUACCCCAAACCGACACAGGUGGUCAGGUAGAGAAUACCAAGGCGCUUGAGAGAACUCGGGUGAAGGAACUAGGCAAAAUGGUGCCGUAACUUCGGGAGAAGGCACGCUGAUAUGUAGGUGAAGCGACUUGCUCGUGGAGCUGAAAUCAGUCGAAGAUACCAGCUGGCUGCAACUGUUUAUUAAAAACACAGCACUGUGCAAACACGAAAGUGGACGUAUACGGUGUGACGCCUGCCCGGUGCCGGAAGGUUAAUUGAUGGGGUCAGCGCAAGCGAAGCUCUUGAUCGAAGCCCCGGUAAACGGCGGCCGUAACUAUAACGGUCCUAAGGUAGCGAAAUUCCUUGUCGGGUAAGUUCCGACCUGCACGAAUGGCGUAAUGAUGGCCAGGCUGUCUCCACCCGAGACUCAGUGAAAUUGAACUCGCUGUGAAGAUGCAGUGUACCCGCGGCAAGACGGAAAGACCCCGUGAACCUUUACUAUAGCUUGACACUGAACAUUGAGCCUUGAUG
rnacentral:rRNA from 1 species